AUGCAUACUGAAGAAUGGGAAUGCUUUUGGAUUAAGAGCUCCUUGAAGAAACAGAAAUGUGAAAGGACGAGCAGGAGGGGUGAUUUCAUGACUUCCCUUGGGUGCUGGAUAGUUUUUGGCUGGUUUCGUCUUCUAACUGGAAAGAAUAUGUGGUACAACCAGGACCUUAAAAUAAAGGAAGAGCUGGAAGGGAUUUGGGGCAGAAGGAGAAACUGUGAUAUGAUGGCUAUAGAAGGAAAUGCUUCAGAGCUGAAAUUCGUAUGAAUUAAAGGUUACAAUAAGUGAAACAGAUUCACAGAAAGUACAGGCAUUAUCAGCAUGCUUUUUCCUCCUUCCCAUUCUUUGAAGCCUGCCAAUAUUGUGGAAAGUGGCCAGAGAAAUGGAAGCAGUCUGUAUUUAUAAGCCUAAUGAGCAAGCAUAAGACUUUGGACUAAUCUAAGAGAGUGGUGGGAAAAAAAAGGUGCCAAAACCAGUUCUCAAACACUUCACAGCAUCAUUUUUUUAGAAACUGGAAGAUAUAUCUUUCUGCUUGGCAUGUAAAUAAAGAUAUCAGCAAAACGCA
rnacentral:lncRNA from 1 species